rnacentral:misc_RNA from 1 species
UCGCAAACGCGCCCUAGCGCGUCGUCAGUCGUAUCCAAGAUGGCUUCAGGCAGCGUCAACCCGGAGCUGGUACGCGAACGAGCGGCCGCUAGUUUUAAUAUUCGCGAAUUGACACACCUCCUGGACGGUGGCAGCGAAAAGACUGAACGCAGGAAAGAACUAGAGAAACUCUUCCAUGAGGACCCAGAGUUCAGGACCGAUGUUCCACAGUGCUACCUUACCUACUCAGAAGCAUAUGCAGAUGCACUGCAAAAAUGUCUCAAGAUUUACCAAAAGGCUAUGGUGCUCUCUGAUCCAAGGGAAAUCUUGACUGUUGCUGAUGCAAUUCUGCAUGACUCAACUCCCGUGCAUGUGCAUUUUGUCAUGUUUGUUCCGGCUCUUAUGGGUCAUGCAAACGAGGAGCAGCAGGCGAAGUGGCUCUCCGAUGCCCUCACUAUGAAAAUCAUCGGGUCCUAUGCACAGACUGAACUUGGUCAUGGAACAUUCAUUCGUGGGCUGGAAACACGGGCCACCUAUGACCCCGAACGAGAGGAGUUUGUCCUGCACACACCGAACCUGUCCUCCAUAAAAUGGUGGCCUGGAAGCUUGGGCAAGACUGCAAACCAUGCAAUCGUGCUCGCCCAGCUGUACACCAAGGGCAAGUGCUAUGGCAUUCACCCGUUCAUGGUGCAGAUCCGAAGCAUGGAUGACCACACUCCACUUCCAGGUAUCACAGUGGGCGAAAUUGGACCAAAGAUGGGCAUGAGGGCUGCUGACAAUGGUUUUCUGAAAUUGGACAAUGUUCGUAUUCCAAGGGAAAACAUGCUGAUGAAAAAUGCCCAGGUAACAAGAGAAGGUGACUAUGUCAAGCCUGCGAGCGACAAGCUCAAUUACGGCACCAUGGUGUUCGUGCGAGUGCUUCUUUUGGACAUGUUUGCCUUCAACAUUGCUCGGGCAUGUACAAUUGCUGUCCGAUACAGCGCAGUGCGCAGGCAGUCUGAAAUUACUCCGGGCCAGGGCGAAUGCCAGAUCCUGGACUAUCAGGCACAGCAAUACAAGCUGUUCCCUCUGUUGGGCCUGUGCCACGCCCUCCGUGGCAUGUUUGCCAACCUCAUGGAGCUUUACAAGCAGGCCAACCAAGACCUUGAGCAGGGAAACCUGCAGGCAUUGCCUGAGCUGCACGCCAUCUCAUCUGGCCUGAAGGCCUUUUGCUCAGAAAUGGCAGCUAAGGGCAUUGAGACUUGUCGUCUGGCCUGUGGUGGACAUGGGUUCCUCCUCAUUAGUGGCCUCCCUAGACUUUACGCAACCACAGUGGCUGCCUGCACGUACGAAGGGGAGAACACUGUCAUGUAUCUCCAGGCUGCGAGGUACCUGCUGAAGUGCUUGGCCCAGCCCCACCUGGUUUCGAACAGAUCAGCCUUCCACUUUCUGCUCGAGCCCAGCACACUGAAUGUGGCUCCUUUCAAUGCCAAGCUGAAAGGGCAGGCAGCUGUCAGGCAGCUCAUACCAUUCUACCGAGCAGCUGCAUAUAAGCAUGUUCACCGGGCUCAUAACAAAGUGAGGAGCCUGGUGAGCACAGGACUUACCCAGGAGGUAGCGUGGAACCAGAGCCAGGUUGACCUAAUCAUCGCAUCCAGGGCCACCAUCUACUACUACAUGGGCCUGAACUACCUCGACUGGCUGGAGCAUGCCGCCAUAUCUGAGCAGCUCAGGGACGUCCUGAUGAGGGUGUGCCAUCUAUACCUGCUGCAUGGCAUCUACGAGCAGCCAGGCCUCUUCCUUGUGGCUGGCCUGAAGGAAGGGAACCUGGAGGAGAUGUCUGGCAUCAUCACAGAACUGCUGAAGAGCCUGCGGCCUGAUGCUGUUGCCCUGGUGGAUGCCUUUGACCACCACGACAUGGUGUUGUGCAGUGCACUCGGCUCCUAUGACGGCCGGGUGUACGAGCGCAUGUACGAGAGUGCCCUCAAGGCUCCUCUCAACAAGACCCAGGUGCACGAGUCUUACCACCAAUUCCUGGGCCCUCUUAUGAAGUCAAGCCUUUGAAGAGGACUGCUCACCUUGCAAAGCGCUUUUCUCUUCCAUUCCCAUUUCUCUUGUACAUUAUGUGCAGAUCCUUCACAGUUUUAACCUAUCAGUCACAUGUUUUGUGACAACUCCUUGGUUCGGUUGCUGUACGCUUUUAGUAUUUUAUCUCCUUAAUGAUAUGCACAUUUUUUCUUACAGCAAAGCACAUUCUCAUUCUUAGUUUAUGUCGAUGGAUCGUUGCCUUUCAUAAACAUGUACAGAAAUGUACUGUUGACUAAAAUUAUUUGUCAUCGAUAGUAUUAGCGGGAAAGCCGAGCUUCCUUGCACUCAGUGCAAGUGUUACUGAACUGGAAGGUGCAGUCUCCACUUGGUGCUUGCGUACAAUCAAGACAAGUGUGUGCCGAAGCUUGCAAAGGAGCAAUUUUCUUCACUGCUUACACAUUGUGUAAGCUUUUGCAGUGGCUGGAUGCAUGUGCAUACAAGGUGACAGAUUAAGUUCUACCUGAUUUAAGAUGUAGUGUAGAGACAGGAAGAAGUUCAGUGCUCAUUACUUUGCAUCAAUUGAAUAGCAUUUGCUUAACUUGUUAUGCACGUACAGCUAUGCUGCGAACUUGACAUCGUGAUUUCAACCAGCUGGGCAAAGCUCACAGGAAUUUGAAAUCAUGCUGGCAAAGUUUAUGAUGCGCACUUGCACCUAAGUAUACCAGAAGCACCGCACGUCUUGUGCUGAAACACAAUGCUGUGUACAGCCCAUCUAGGGCUAGCUUUGCUGUCGAGUGCCAUUCUCUAGCUGGGUACAAACCCAGGUUGUUUGUGCACAGGAACCGUUCAGGAGAGAGACUGACUAACCACAGUUGCAAGGAAGGUCGCAUUUGAACUUGCAAAGAAAGAAAUCGACAUUAAAAAGCUCUAACGAUAGAUUUACUUUCCGAUAUCACUGUAUGAACCUAUAAAACUGUGAUGCCGACAACAAACGCGAGUACUGCUUUCUCAAAACGUCAUAGUUGGUUGACAUUGCACGUGGUUACCCGUAGUGUUAGAUUAACGCUGCUUUCAUGAAGGUCUGUAUAGGGAAGAUGAAUUGAAGCUGAAGAUUGCGAAGCUUAAG